GAUGAACGCUGGCGGCGUGCCUAAUACAUGCAAGUCGAGCGAACGGACGAGAAGCUUGCUUCUCUGAUGUUAGCGGCGGACGGGUGAGUAACACGUGGAUAACCUACCUAUAAGACUGGGAUAACUUCGGGAAACCGUAGCUAAUACCGGAUAAUAUUUUGAACCGCAUGGUUCAAAAGUGAAAGACGGUCUUGCUGUCACUUCUAGAUGGAUCCGCGCUGCAUUAGCUAGUUGGUAAGGUAACGGCUUACCAAGGCAACGAUGCAUAGCCGACCUGAGAGGCUGAUCGGCCACACUGGAACUGAGACACGGUCCAUACUCCUACGGGAGGCAGCAGUAGGGAAUCUUCCGCAAUGGGCGAAAGCCUGACGGAGCAACGCCGCGUGAGUGAUGAAGGUCUUCGGAUCGUAAAACUCUGUUAUUAGGGAAGAACAUAUGUGUAAGUAACUGUGCACAUCUUGACGGUACCUAAUCAGAAAGCCACGGCUAACUACGUG
rnacentral:rRNA from 1 species